rnacentral:rRNA from 1 species
UACAGAGGGUGCAAGCGUUAAUCGGAGUUACUGGGCGUAAAGGGCGCGUAGGCGGUUAUAUAAGUGAGAUGUGAAAUCCCUGGGCUUAACCUAGGAACUGCAUUUCAAACUGUAUGGCUAGAGUAUUGUAGAGGGUAGUGGAAUUUCCGGUGUAGCGGUGAAAUGCGUAGAGAUCGGAAGGAACACCAGUGGCGAAGGCGGCUACCUGGACAAAUACUGACGCUGAUGCGCGAGAGCGUGGGGAGCAAACAGG